GUGGGUAUAGCGCAGUUGGUUAGCGCGUCAGAUUGUGGCUCUGAAGGCCCAGGGUUUGAAUCCCUGUACCCGUUCGA
rnacentral:tRNA from 1 species